rnacentral:rRNA from 1 species
GACGAACGCUGGCGGCGUGCUUAACACAUGCAAGUCGAACGGAAAGGCCCUGCUUUUGGGGGGUGCUCGAGUGGCGAACGGGUGAGUAACACGUGAGUAACCUGCCCUUGACUUUGGGAUACCUUCAGGAAACUGGGGCUAAUACCGGAUAGGAGCUCCUGCUGCAUGGUGGGGGUUGGAAAGUUUCGGCGGUUGGGGAUGGACUCGCGGCUUAUCAGCUUGGUGGUGGGGUAGUGGCUUACCAAGGCUUUGACGGGUAGCCCGCCUGAGAGGGUGAGCGGCAACAUUGGGACUGUGAUACGGCCCAGACUCCUACGGGAGGCAGUAGUGGGGAAUAUUGCACAAUGGGCGGACGCCUGAUGCAGCACCGCCGCGUGCGGGAUGACGGCCUUCGGGUUGUAACCCGCUUUCGCCUGUGACGAAGCGUGAGUGACGGUAAUGGGUAAAGAAGCACCGGCUAACUACGUG